ACGUAGGGGGCAAGCGUUAUCCGGAAUUAUUGGGUGUAAAGAGUGCGUAGGUGGUUUUUUAAGCGUGAGGAGAAAGGCAAUAGCUUAACUAUUGUAAGCCUUGCGAACUGGAAGACUUGAGUGCAGGAGAGGAAAGUGGAAUUCCUAGUGUAGCGGUGAAAUGCAUAGAUAUUAGGAGGAACACCAGUGGCGAAGGCAACUUUCUGGACUGUAACUGACACUGAGGCACGAAAGCUUGAAGAUCAAACAG
rnacentral:rRNA from 1 species